rnacentral:lncRNA from 1 species
CUUGGGUCGGCUCCAGUCGGACGUGGGGGAGCUGUGGAAGUGCUGCUGGUGCUGCACGUGGGUUACUCCCCGUGGACCUCUCCGUUGCUCAUCCGUCGCCUGGCUGUGAGGCGUGGGAGUUUAAAGGCACGUGGGGUGCUGCUUUGGGGGGGGGGACCCGCUCAGAGCAGGCUGUGUGCAGCGGGUGGGAUGCAGGCCGUGUGCUGCGUGGUGCCCUGGCAGCUCAGGUGGUGCCUGGGCUGUGAGCCGGGCCGUCCUCAUCCCCAGGCACCGGCAGGGAGGUGGGGGCCCUCUGAAGCUCCCGGACUUAUUUUUUUCCCUCUUCGAGUGUUUGGAAAAGGGCAAAUCAAACUUACCUGCUUUCCAAGGGCUUUGCUGCUCUGCCCUCUCCUUUCCUCCCUCUCCUCUCACUCAGCGUAGCCCAGCUUCUCCUUUGCUCCCAUUGAGGAGCGUCCUCGUGGAAAAGGCUGCGAGAGCCACACUGGGCAGACGGGAGGGGUCCGGGGAAGCGUUGCAGGGCUGCAGACAAGAAAUCUGAGAGAGGAGAAGAUGAGUGAAGUGCUGGUGGAGGAGCCAGAUGGGAGAGGAAGAACGGCAGGCCAGGAGCAAGAAGGGACCCAAUGCUGGGUUGGAACCACCAGAAAGAGGAAGGGCUGUGAGCUGAACGCGGGCUGACCUGCACCAAGGAAGGGAAAGAAGCGGCGCAGUGCAGCGUUCCCCGGUGCCAGCGAGCUCUGUUGGCAGUGGGAUGUUGGGGAGAGGACGGUGAGAUCUCAGGGGUGUGCAGAUAUCAGCUGGCGUUGCCUCAGCCUUGGCUGCUGCAGCCUGAUCCCAAGGCUUGGCCUGAACCCUGCUGGAGGAUCCGAGUUCAGCCCAAAAGCACCGGGAGGAAGUACCAGAACUGUUCCCAGGCCACCCCUGCACCACGGCAGUGCCUGCAGCAGUGGGGGCUGGCCUGGCUCUCCAGCAUGGCGUUGUGCUUUGGGGGAAAGUUUCUGCAUCCCACUGCCGUAGGUGUGCUGGAGGCUGCAGCAAUCACAAGGAGGACUUAAUGAUCUUACGGGUCUCCUGCAACUGAAACAACUCUAUAACUCUGUGACUUCCCAGCACGUGCAUAUGGGGCUGCCAAGGGGCUGCUCAUGCUUGCAGGCACCAGGGGAGGUUGCAGGGGUUCCACAGGUUCAGCACAUCCAGAUUUCACCGGAGACCUGCCUUGGUUUGAGCAAAAGGACAGCUUGGCCCUUUCAGUAAGAAGUUACAGGCAUCUCCAGCGAGUUCUGUUCCUCACAGCCAUCUCCUCUCCGAUGCGAUAUGGGUUGGACACAUCCCUGCCAGGGUCCAGCCCCACUGCCCUGCCCCAGGGCAAAACGGUUUGGCUGGAGGAGUGUGGCUGCUCCUGGGGCUGGGGGAGUGGGGCUGCCCGAAGGAGCCCGGGGUGACGCUGGGGGAGAACGCUGCCCUGCGCACUAUGGGGGGUAGGAAGGCACAGGGACACAGCAUCCUGGGGCGCAGCCCCUGAACGAACAAGGCGGGCCUGGGGAGCCCCUUCCCGCUGCCCUGUGCCGGGGUGCCCCAGUUUGACGUUCCCCCCAUCCCGGCCCCGCCACGGGGCUCAGCCCAGCCCACGUCCUGCCUGGCUCCAAGCUGCCCCGUGGUUCUGCUCUCCUCCUCUGAAUUGUAUUUAUUUAUUUAUAUGGAGAUGUAAUAAAACUCCAGCAGGAAACGGAGGCGAUUCCCUGCCAUUCCCCACAAGCCGGCCCUGGGACGGGCUGAACAAGGAGGCACAUUGUGCAGCGCAGACCCGCCUGCCAGCGCCGGGCUGUGUGCGGGGCUGAGGGGCCCGGGCCAGGCAAAGAAAGAGCCGAGUGUGUGCCUGCGCCGGGCCGGUGCCGACACCGGCGUGCCGGGAGCACCGCGGGGCUGUGGGAUGGGGCAGCCUGGGGCUGAGCUCCGUUUUGGCACCGCAGGUGGGUUGCAGGCAUGCCGGAGCGGGCAGGCAGCAGCGCCGGGGAUGAAAGGGCUUCUGUGCUAGCCUGGAACGUCACCUGGGAGCACAGCGUUGCCUGCUCCAAACCGCGCUCCUCCUCUGCCUCUUCUGCCAGGAAACCGGGCAGCGCCGAGGGUCAGCCGCGGGGCAGGCGCCCCAUGGCCUGGUUUGGUGGCUGUGACCCACUCCUGCCGGGCUCCGGCAGCUGGCAGCGAGCGGCAGCCUUUCACCGGCCCAUGGGAGGCAGCCGCUUUGAGCGGGGAUGUUGCCAUCAGUAGGGGUCAGAGUGAACGGCCGCUGCCAAGGCCUGUGGGUGGUGAGCGAGGUGAUGGGGGCUGCACGUGGCUCAGCCUGCAGCUCCUCCAGGCUUGCCACCGGCGUGGCUCCUGCUGACCUUCUUCAUCACAGCUGCUAGAGUUACUGAAACCGCACGCCAAAGGGAAAAGGGGAAAAAUCCCAAAUCCUCCAGGAAAUGUCUUUGCAAACCUCCUCUGUGGUGCAGCAGAGGCAUCGGCAUCGCUGCCUGGGAGCAGGCAGGCUGUGUCCUGCAGGGGACAGUUGGCACAGCAGGGUUGUCCCUCUGCACCAGGGGACGGGGGAAUAAUUGGAAUGAGACGGACGUUGGGUCAGGCCAUGUCCUGGCUCUGGGCUGGGAGGACAUGGAUGGGGCUCUGCGGCCCCUCAGGGAUCUGCGGCACCUUUGGCACCUCUCACCAGCCUGGCACGGGGACCAGUGGAGCGUGACAGCCCUGCCGUGCCAGCCAGGACAUUGGUAUGCAGAUGGCAGGGGGUGACACAAGGAGGGGACGGCCCUUCCUGCAGGGUGCUCACGCCAGGCUCUGGGUGUCUGAGCACACAGCUGCGGGGUGUGGGGCUGGGCACAGCGGGACCCCCGGGGCCCAUCGUUCUCUGCCCACAGUGCCCGCAGUGCCCUUCCUGGACGGGGCUGCCUGCCUGGUGACAUGCUGCACAGUCUCAUGAAGCCAUAAAAAUAGCUGCAGCUUGGGUGUAGGAUGAGCACGGCUGUUAAUUCCCCCCUGCCAGGGUUCUCGUUGCGUUGCUAUAAUUAAUGCCUGAGUCAGGGAAGAAAUGGCUUUUCCCUUCCGCCGGUGCCAGCUGGGGCAGGAGCAGUGCCACGAAGUCCCUCUGCUUUGCCCAUCUCCUGCCAGUGUCAGAUUCCUGCCCCAUUUCUUCACUGUCUGUCCCCAGAAACCCCCUGCCCUCCCACCCCACUGCUGCACACCAACAGAGGGAUCUCAGCACUGAGCCACAGAGCCACAGGGCGCAGAGCAGUGCCUGCUUUGCCCCAGCUUGGGUGUAUCUGCACUGUGCAGGAACGGGAGGGUUCGGGCUGGAGGACUCCCAACACUGCUGGCAAAGCACAGCGUGGCCACAGCGAGAACCCCCAUCCACAUGGGUGCCCGAGUGGGUGCCAGCCUGCAGCUGGGUGGGCUCUCCGAGGAUGGACCCCUCCAGCUGCUCCGCAGCCCAUCCGGCCCUGGUGCUGGCAUCCCUUUGAAAUCGACCCAGCUGGCCUUUCACACCAGCUAUUCCUGUGAAAUUCUUUGGGAAGGGAAAAUUUGCUGCCCGGAUCCUUGCAGAGCUGCGCCCUCGCCCUCCCUCGGGCUGCAACCGACAGCAGAGGGUCCUUUGGAGCUGAGGGUGCUUUUGGGUCUUUCGGUCCUUACUACAGCCCCUGCCUGAAAGCACCGGGGAGAGCUGGGAGUACCACAGCACUGUGCCCAGGGCAGAGCAGAGCCAUCGGGGAGUGCAGAGCCCAGCGGGCACGUGGGUCUGCGUGUCCCCACGUAUGUCCCAGCUGCCCCUGCCAAGGUGCAGAGCCUGUGGGACCCUCUCCUCCUCCACCACCUCCUCCAUCGUGCCCCCUCCCCUGCUCCGUCGCUCCCUCUGAGGCAGGGGCCACCCCCGCUGCUGCUGCCGUGGGGGAUGCCCAGGAUCCCACGCCCACGUCCCAUCCGUGCACGUUCUGGGGGCGUCUCGCAGCCUCUCCGUGCAGCCCGGCAGCGCCAGGCGACUGCUCUCGACCCGUGGCCUUCCCGCUCCUUCCCCCCUCCCCUCGCUGAGGAUCUCGCACAGGUUUGCGAGCACUGUUGACGGGAAGAAAGGAAAUGGGGCAAAGCUGCUGCCAGGAACCACAGGCUCCUGUCAUACGGCCCCGCUCCGCCGGCCUGGACGCUUCGCGGGCAGAUUUCUGUGCAGCCUCUGUGAUUUCUUUAUUCAAGCUAUUGAUAUUGGAUUCACAGCCCAGGGACGCUUCCAAAGCCAUAAAUCCGCCGUGUUGCUCUACCUGGUGUUCUUGUUUUCACUGCGAGGCUUCCAGACCCGCCGGAGACCUCAGCUUCUGUGCGCAGCCACGGUGUCGUGGGCACGGCGCUCCACGUGCGCCCCCCCCGCCCCACGGCCGCCCCGGCGCUCCCCUGCCUGAUCUGCGGGGCCGGGG